AAGGCUGAUCUUGAAAAGGCUGCAGUAGAAAGCAGGCGGAUAAGAGAUAUGGGAGAUACAGUAAAAGCCUCGCUAACAGCUUUGGAAGAGAGAGCAGUAAUAACAGCAACAGAACUGAUGCAGCUCCAAGCCAAAGCCAAAGCCAAACAACUGGAGGAGGCUGUUGUGCAAUACGAAACUCGGACAUCAGCCGAUGAAUUGAAGGCUGAUCUUGAAAAGGCUACAGUAGAAAGCAGGCGGAUAAGAGAUAUGGGAGAUAGAG